AUUGAACGCUGGCGGCAGGCUUAACACAUGCAAGUCGAGCGGAGAUGAGGUGCUUGCACCUUAUCUUAGCGGCGGACGGGUGAGUAAUGCUUAGGAAUCUGCCUAUUAGUGGGGGACAACAUUCCGAAAGGAAUGCUAAUACCGCAUACGUCCUACGGGAGAAAGCAGGGGAUCUUCGGACCUUGCGCUAAUAGAUGAGCCUAAGUCGGAUUAGCUAGUUGGUGGGGUAAAGGCCUACCAAGGCGACGAUCUGUAGCGGGGCUGAGAGGAUGAUCCGCCACACUGGGACGGAGACACGGCCCAGACUCCUACGGGAGGCAGCAGUGGGGAAUAUUGGACAAUGGGGGGAACCCUGAUCCAGCCAUGCCGCGUGUGUGAAGAAGGCCUUAUGGUUGUAAAGCACUUUAAGCGAGGAGGAGGCUACUGAGACUAAUACUCUUGGAUAGUGGACGUUACUCGCAGAAUAGGCACCGGCUAACUCUGUGCCAGCCGCCGCCGUAAAAC
rnacentral:rRNA from 1 species